ensembl:lncRNA ULK4P2 ULK4 pseudogene 2
UUUCCAGCCGCGCUCCCACGAGGGUCACGGCGGCGGGGAGAGGUGGAGCCGCGAGAGCUCGGCCGGGGGCCCCGCCUGGUGGUCGCGGCCAUGACAGCGGCUCGGGACAGGCUCCUUUUCCGCGCCCCUCCCGCCGGAGGUGAGGGGAAGAUGUCCAUGUCCGGGUUCAAGGCCAAACCGAAGUUACUGGCUUCUAUCUUCCAGGAGAACCAGGAGCCACAGCCGCGGCUCACGCCCCACCGCAACAUUAAGAUUACAAGUGGACACCUGAGUCAGCAGGACCUGGAAUCCCAGAUGAGAGAGCUUAUCUACACGACUCAGAUCUUGUUGUCACCCCCAUUAUUGACAAUCCAAAGGUGCAGAAAGCACUCUGACAAAUAAUGAAACAACCACCAUCGGUUAAAUUUGAUGCAAAAAUAUUGCAUCUACCAGCAUUUUCAGUUCCAAUUGCUAAUCCAGCAUUUGUGGAUAGCUGCAAACUGUGAUAUAUGGGCCAAGGUUGCUCGGGUGAUUGGUUUACUGGCUUCGCACAAAACUGAUCUCCAGGAAAAUACACCUGUUGUUGAGGCCUUC